rnacentral:rRNA from 1 species
UCGGGAAUUUUGGGCAAUGGGCGAAAGCCUGACCCAGCAACGCCGCGUGAAGGAUGAAGUAUUUCGGUAUGUAAACUUCGUAAAAAUAGGAAGAAUAAAUGACGGUACUAUUUGUAAGGUCCGGCUAACUACGUGCCAGCAGCCGCGGUAAUACGUAGGGACCAAGCGUUGUUCGGAUUUACUGGGCGUAAAGGGCGCGUAGGCGGCGUGACAAGUCACUUGUGAAAUCUCCGGGCUUAACUCGGAACGGUCAAGUGAUACUGUCGUGCUAGAGUGCAGAAGGGGCAAUCGGAAUUCUUGGUGUAGCGGUGAAAUGCGUAGAUAUCAAGAGGAACACCUGAGGUGAAGACGGGUUGCUGGGCUGACACUGACGCUGAGGCGCGAAAGCCAGGGGAGCAAACGGGAUUAGAUACCCCUGUAGUCCCUGAGCGGGCUGGCAAGGCGCAU